rnacentral:lncRNA from 1 species
UUAAUGUUAGGGUUCAUGUCAGGGUUCAUGUUAGGGUUCAUGUUAGGGUUAAGGUUAGAGUCCGUUUUAAGUUUUGGCCAGAUGGGCUGUCAAUGGGAUGUUGGUCAGAAAAGUCCAUUUAGUCUUUCCCUUCUCAAACCUGUCCUCCCCCUAACCAGCUCAUAUCAUGUAUUCCACCACCAGCACACCUGAUUCACUAAUCAGAGGUUUGGAUGAUUAGUUGACCAGUGGUACAAAGUGGACUGGAUCUAGGUGAACUAUGUGGAGAGUCUUCCAGGGACAGUACAGUACAGACUGAGAAGCUAACAACAGUGUAGUUUACCCAACUCAUUCAAACUAUCAUGACUAUUGUUUAGAGAGAAGAUCUGCACAAGGGCAUAAAGUUUAAGAUAUAGCGAGAGGACAAUAUGGUGCAAGGUUGCCAAAAGUCAUAGGCCUAAUCAUCAAUCAAAUAUGAAAUAUAAAACCAAAAUAUAAUCUACAUAUAAAGACAACAUGUCAUCUACAUGUGUUAUAGAAUAGCUCCCUUCUCACAUCCCAGGUCAUGUUUGGACUGGAACGUGACAACUCAACGGGCUAUGCGCAUCUCCCCAAUAGCCUACAGACAACUUUCCUGAGUGCAAUGUCAUUAAUGUGACCGAUAUGUACAGUAUAAUAAGCAUAGUGAAGAAGGAAAAGAUCCCACCUCUGACGCACAGCAGAGACAUCACUGCUGAGAUUUCCCCUGGAGCAAGAGUCCCUCAAGAAUUUAAAAACAGUCAUUGCGUUACAAUGAAUGUCCUCCCCAAACGCUUGUUGCAUCGUGAACUAUCCUCCCAGUCCCUUGGGAUUUCAGCGGAUGGAUGAUGCGCCGCUGCCAUUUACUUGGAUGAGAAGUUGGACGAACGCUCCUCCAGCUCACGAUACGAAAUGGUGGAGAACUACAGUGUGGAGAACCCCUAGCUGUCAAUCAAGCAGGCGCGGUGAACGGAUUAUGACGCUCAAGCGUUCCAAAUGACGCAACAAUACAGCUCCAGACCAGAGAAAGUUAAUGCCGAGGAUAUUAUUCGGUUCAACACUAAAACUGAGGUUUGACACGUGUGAUUUGAGGUGAGUCAAAUAUUUACAAAAGUUUACAAUACAUUAACCAUCCGCUUCGUUAUUUCUGUUGCUAUCAAUCACUCCAUCUGUAUCUACUCUUCUGUCUGUCUGUCGGACUAUCUGAAUUGUCUGUGUACUGUCUAGCCAGCAUAUGCCAGAAAGGUUCUUUCACAUAGGCUCAUAUUCACAAAGUCUCAUAGAAGGAGUGCUGAUCAAUAAUCAGUUAGGUCUUUUAAAUUAAACUGAAUACGUUUUGAUGGACAGGAGGUCGACCUGAUCCUAGAUCAGCACUCCUACCCUGAAACACUUUGUGAACACAAUCCAGGUGUACUGUGAUUAUGAAGUUGUGAUGAGGUAUUAUUAUAUUAGUUGUGCUGAUGCAUGAUGGGUUGUAGGCUAGAGCUUGAGGACUCAACUCUGAAGACUGUUUCUGAAUUCACUGACCUGGUGAGUAAAUGUUGUGUACAAUGGCAUCAUCUAGUGACAGAAACAUAGAAACACAGAUUGUUGCUAAAUGAAGGCAUCUCUUUAUUUUCCAGAAAUAAAACUUGUAGACCUUUCCUGCAGUCUCUGAGGAGAUGGACACCUCUUCUUCUUCUGGACGAUCUCCGUCUCCUACUGGGACUGUCUUCUUACCCCCUCCUAUCAUGUGGAACAGUCUGUAAGUCAUUCAUCACAUAACCUAGCUCUGGUCCAGGGCAUUAUGUGCGGCUUGCUGAAGGAAGGCUCAGUGUCUGCAAGCUGUACGUAACGCCCUGGACCAGAGUGACACAUUACCCACCUCUGGCCAUCAUGGACAGUCAACUCAUCACAUUCACGUACUGUAAGUCACAGUUGUGUGAUUUGUGUUAUUAAAGACAGUUAAAUUGAGCAGAAGUUGAAUUAUUAUUUUAAUAUUGUAGUAAAUUGUCUGAGUUCACUUCCUAAAUAAUGUGUUGACAUUCCUUUGCUC